rnacentral:rRNA from 1 species
GAUGGACGCUAGCGGCAAGCCUAAUACAUGCAAGUCGAACGGUGUCUUCGGACAUAGUGGCGCACGGGUGCGUAACACGUAUGCAACCUACCUUACAUUGGGGGAUAGCCUUUCGAAAGGGAGAUUAAUACCGCAUAAGACAGUAGCUGGGCAUCCAGCAGCUGUUAAAGAUUUAUCGAUGUAAGCUGGGCAUGCGUCCAAUUAGCUAGUUGGUGAGGUAACGGCUCACCAAGGCAAUGAUUGGUAGGGGAACUGAGAGGUCAAUCCCCCACACUGACACUGAGAUACGGGCCAGACUCCUCCGGGAGGCAGCAGUAGGGAAUAUUGGGCAAUGGACGCAAGUCUGACCCAGCCAUGCCGCGUGCAGGAUGAAGGCGUUAUGCGUUGUAAACUGCUUUUAUACAGGAAGAAACGACUCUUGCGAGAGGCAUUGACGGUACUGUAUGAAUAAGCACCGGCUAACUCCGUGCCAGCCGCCGCCGUAAUAC